AUUGAACGCUGGCGGCAUGCCUUACACAUGCAAGUCGAACGGCAGCAUGGAGAGCUUGCUCUCUGAUGGCGAGUGGCGAACGGGUGAGUAAUGCAUCGGAACGUACCGUGUAAUGGGGGAUAACGUAGCGAAAGUUACGCUAAUACCGCAUACGACCUGAGGGUGAAAGCAGGGGAUCGCAAGACCUUGCGUUAUACGAGCGGCCGAUGUCAGAUUAGCUAGUUGGUGAGGUAAAGGCUCACCAAGGCGACGAUCUGUAGCGGGUCUGCGAGGAUGAUCCGCCGCACUGGGACUGAGACACGUCCCAGACUCCUACGGGAGGCAGCAGUGGGGAAUUUUGGACAAUGGGGGCAACCCUGAUCCAGCCAUGCCGCGUGAGUGAAGAAGGCCUUCGGGUUGUAAAGCUCUUUCGGCCGGGAAGAAAUCGCACAGGCUAAUACUCUGUGUGGAUGACGGUACCGGCAUAAGAAGCACCGGCUAACUACGUGCCAGCCGCCGCAGUAA
rnacentral:rRNA from 1 species